UACAGAGGUCUCAAGCGUUGUUCGGAUUCAUUGGGCGUAAAGGGUGCGUAGGUGGUGCUGUAAGUCAGGUGUGAAAUCUCGGGGCUCAACCCCGAAACUGCACUUGAUACUGCAGUGCUCGAGGACUGGAGAGGAGAUUGGAAUUCAUGGUGUAGCAGUGAAAUGCGUAGAUAUCAUGAGGAAGACCAGUGGCGAAGGCGGAUCUCUGGACAGUUCCUGACACUGAGGCACGAAGGCCAGGGGAGCAAAACGGGG
rnacentral:rRNA from 1 species